rnacentral:rRNA from 1 species
CGCGCAGGCGGCCUUUUAAGUCUGAUGUGAAAGCCCACGGCUUAACCGUGGAAGGUCAUUGGAAACUGGAAGGCUUGAGUACAGAAGAGGAAAGCGGAAUUCCACGUGUAGCGGUGAAAUGCAUAGAGAUGUGGAGGAACACCAGUGGCGAAGGCGGCUUUCUGGUCUGUAACUGACGCUGAGGCGCGAAAGCAUGGGGAGCAAACA